rnacentral:rRNA from 1 species
UGAACGCUGGCGGCGUGCCUAAUACAUGCACGUCGAGCGAACAGACGAGGAGCUUGCUCCUCUGACGUUAGCGGCGGACGGGUGAGUAACACGUGGAUAACCUACCUAUAAGACUGGGAUAACUUCGGGAAACCGGAGCUAAUACCGGAUAAUAUAUUGAACCGCAUGGUUCAAUAGUGAAAGACGGUUUUGCUGUCACUUAUAGAUGGAUCCGCGCCGCAUUAGCUAGUUGGUAAGGUAACGGCUUACCAAGGCGACGAUGCGUAGCCGACCUGAGAGGGUGAUCGGCCACACUGGAACUGAGACACGGUCCAGACUCCUACGGGAGGCAGCAGUAGGGAAUCUUCCGCAAUGGGCGAAAGCCUGACGGAGCAACGCCGCGUGAGUGAUGAAGGUCUUCGGAUCGUAAAACUCUGUUAUUAGGGAAGAACAAAUGUGUAAGUAACUAUGCACGUCUUGACGGUACCUAAUCAGAAAGCCACGGCUAACCACGU